rnacentral:rRNA from 1 species
AUCUGUGGUCAUACCACUCUGAAAGCACCCAAUGUCAUCUGAUCUUAGAUGUGCAACAGGAUCAGGCCUGAUCAGUUUGUGGACUGGGGGUU